rnacentral:lncRNA from 1 species
GCUUUCGGAUCAAUCGAUAUUUUUUUAUUUGUCAAUAUAUUUAUCUUUUUGUAUACCUAUUACUUUUCAAUGUGUUUGUAUGUUUUUUAUUUUGUUAAAUAUUUCGUUGAUACAUUUGUAUAUAUUUUUUAUUUUAUAUAUCUCUUUUUUGUCAAUAUAUUUCUAUAUUUUAUAUAUCUCUUAUUUGUCAAUAUAUUUCUAUGUCUCUUAAUUGUAUCCUUUA